ACUUCAUUGACAGUCAUGACGGACGUGUGGAGAUCCUGCAGCGUCUGAUGUGUGCUCGAGAGUCUCGGAUCAGUUCAGUGGUGUUAGUGUUUCUUCAGAGACCAUGUCGAGCUGCUUAAGUGCACAAAACACUUUCUUCUAAAAAUCUCCUUCCCACUAGAAAUGUUUCAAUGUUUAAUGCGCUUUAAUGCCAAGUCAAAAUAAUAAUACCAAUACUAGGAACAUUAAUAGCAGUCAAUAGAUUUGAAAUUGAAAACAGCAGAAGAUGAAGCAGCUGGCACAGUGUGUGUGUGUGAGAUUAGUGGGAAUGUGGCUCUUUUGUAGCUCACUUGAUCUCCUCCCCCUCUGAAUUUUCACAUUUCCGCACCGCCGCUGAGAAUGCUGGGAAACCCUCGUGUUAUUUCUGAUUUCUCACUCUUCGGAGAGUCCGCGGCUCCCGUACAGAGAAUCUGAGGAGCCAAACAGCGGCUGAAUUAGACCAUGAAAUUACAGAUAACAUUUAAAAAUAAUCUCAGCAUAAUGAUUACAGCGAGGCCACUGAGACAUUUCUUAAGGCUCUGAAAUUAUCCACACUAUUUAUUGACUUCUUCCACACUCAGCGAUAAGAAUAUGUAAUCAGUUUUUCUGGUAAUUUGUUGUUGUAUCAGGAGGAAGAGUCGAGGAGGGGCGAGUGUUUGUGACGCCGGACAGACGGAUGUUUGGACUCUCAUUCUGACGGCACCCAUUCACUGCAGAGCAUACAUUGCUGAGACACUGAUGCAAUGCUACUUUUCUACAAAUCUGACGAAGAAACACACUCAUCUACAUCUAUAGAUGGCCUGAAGCUCCAUCGAGAGGAGCUUGGCCCAAAACAGCACCUGUUGUUCACCGAGUGACCUUCUAAUUUUCUAAUUCAAUUUCAUCUGGAGCCGCUCUGCCUCCGCGAUCAGCAGCCAGUAAUAACAAUUACUGUGACCGACUCAACCUGCACCUUACUUCAAUCAGAGCAAGUACAGCUUUAUUACUCUGCCCUGUUAAAUCAAUCUACAUCUCCGCAUAAUAAGGCCCUAAUCAGGUAGCAGAAAGAAUAAUAGGUUGUCACGCAUGAGGAAAAAUAGGCAAUCAUGAAAUGUUUUCGCAGCUCGAAUGUUCUCUCCUGACAGCUCCAUCGAGAGGAGCUCGGCCCAAAACAGCACCUGUUGUUCACCGAGUGACCUUCUAAUUUUCUAAUUCAAUUUCAUCUGGAGCCGCUCUGCCUCCGCGAUCAGCAGCCAGUAAUAACAAUUACUGUGACCGACUCAACCUGCACCUUCCUUCAAUCAGAGCAAGUACAGCUUUAUUACUCUGCCCUGUUAAAUCAAUCUACAUCUCCGCAUAAUAAGGCCCUAAUCAGGUAGCAGAAAGAAUAAUAGGUUGUCACGCAUGAGGAAAAAUAGGCAAUCAUGAAAUGUUUUCUUUAAUUAGGCUGUGAGGACUGGAAGGGCAUCAAGAGGACCGGCUGAUCAUUUAUCAUCAGCGCGGGGGGAAAUUACUUCACUUACUCGGAAAGAGAAGGAGAGAGAGGGGAGAAAUUUGUCAAACGAUAAAGGUGAGGACAGGCUCCGAGUCUUUCAGUAAGGUGCUUUUGGAGACGAACCAGGUAGCAGAAAGAAUAAUAGGUUGUCACGCAUGAGGAAAAUAAGGCAAUCAUGAAAUGUUUUCUUUAAUUAGGCUGUGAGGGACUGGAAGGGCAUCAAGAGGACCGGCUGAUCAUUUAUCAUCAGCGCGGGGGGAAAUUACUUCACUUACUCGGAAAGAGAAGGAGAGAGAGGGGAGAAAUUUGUCAAACGAUAAAGGUGAGGACAGGCUCCGAGUCUUUCAGUAAGGUGCUUUUGGAGACGAACAUUAGCAUGAUGAAAUAUUAGGCCUGAACUGCAAAAGUCCCUUUACUAACAGUCAUGUUCACACUGCAGUUAAAUGCGAGUGUUUAAUGCCGAUCUGAACACACAGUGUUCUUUAUAGGAGUGAUAUGAGAGAGAAAAGUCAGUAUCUUGAUGGCAAUUUACUAACAAUUACUAUGCAGCAAUACGUGUCCAACAGUGAAUGUUUCAUUUGAAAAAUUAGCCAACAACAAAUGUUAAGCAGCUUUCAUGUUUUCUCUUAACAGAAAUGCAACCCCAGCC
rnacentral:lncRNA from 1 species